AUACCCAUCAAAGUACCCUUUACAAUAUUCUAUAUGAUUGUCAACAUAAAAUUGACAAGAUAAAAAACUAGCACACAAGUCCCCACACGGAUCAUACGGAGUAAAAAAACUUACCAACCAAAACUGGUAGCAGUUGUAGAUAUAUUAUUGAAUCACCCGAAGUCAAUUAUUAGUUAAUAUAGCACAAUGAGUGAUGCGAGUAUUCUUUCGAAAGUGAGCCUUGCUGCCGACAGCACCAUAAUGGAUCACAGAACCCUGAUGUAUGAAAGAAGGAAAACCAUGGAAGCCAGGCGUUUAACAAGGGGGAUGAGAUCUAUCCUUGGCUCCGAAAGAAUAGUAGUGCCUGAAAACUCCUGGACUUAUCAUUUUACGAAUAUGGUAAAGCGUCACAAUGAUGAUCAAAAGCUCGUUGAUCCUGCAUUUAUUCCGGAGGUUUCUACCAAGGAGAAAUUCGAAUAUAUAUUAAAGAACGAUGACGACAAGGAGGCAUUCUACGAUCCUAGUUUCAAACAUCACCAAGUGCCUCUCUACAUUCGAUGUAUUGAGCGUUUUCAUGAAUCAAAAAAAAAGUUUUCAAACCAAUUUAGACGGGAAGUGAAUCUAUUAAUUGAUAAUCAACCAAACGCUGAUUGUGCUUGGCAGUUUGUUAGAACUGUGGCUUACACCACACUUUGGCCGCCAUUGCAUUCAAGACAGGAGCUUUGGUAUUUUGAAAGGGACUUUUUACAAUUAACUCCCAAGGAAAAGAGCCGUUUGCAUAAAAUUAUGAACACCGAAUUUAAUUGAAAGUGGUAUUACGGAUACAUAUUUAGGAUUUGUAUUUUGGAUACGUUUGGAAAAAAAAUCAUAAUGAUAAAUUAAAUCAAUAAUAAAAUAAAUUAA